rnacentral:rRNA from 1 species
AGUUGAUCCUGGCUCAGAUUGAACGCUGGCGGCAUGCCUUACACAUGCAAGUCGAACGGCAGCACGGGGGCAACCCUGGUGGCGAGUGGCGAACGGGUGAGUAAUACAUCGGAACGUGUCCUGUAGUGGGGGAUAGCCCGGCGAAAGCCGGAUUAAUACCGCAUACGCUCUACGGAGGAAAGGGGGGGAUCUUAGGACCUCCCGCUACAGGGGCGGCCGAUGGCAGAUUAGCUAGUUGGUGGGGUAAAGGCCUACCAAGGCGACGAUCUGUAGCUGGUCUGAGAGGACGACCAGCCACACUGGGACUGAGACACGGCCCAGACUCCUACGGGAGGCAGCAGUGGGGAAUUUUGGACAAUGGGCGAAAGCCUGAUCCAGCAAUGCCGCGUGUGUGAAGAAGGCCUUCGGGUUGUAAAGCACUUUUGUCCGGAAAGAAAACCUCCGCCCUAAUAUGGUGGGGGGAUGACGGUACCGGAAGAAUAGCACCG